AUGCGAUGAUGAGUGAAGUAUAGUCUGACCUGGUAUUGCCAUUGUUUCAGUGUUGGCUUUGACCAGGGCAUGACUCCUUAAUCUUCUCUCUGAGCUG
rnacentral:snoRNA from 1 species